rnacentral:rRNA from 1 species
GACGAACGCUAGCGGUAUGCUUAACACAUGCAAGUCGAACGGCAACGCCCUGCUUUUGUGCUGUGCUUGAGUGGCAACCGGGUGCGUAACACGAGAGUAUACUGACCUUGCCUUUGGGAUAACUUCAGGCAGCUGGGGCUCAUACUGGAUCGGCGCUCCCGCUGGAUGGUGGGGCUUGGCCCGUUUCGGCGGUUGGGGAUGGACUCGCGGCUUAUCUGCUUGUUGGUGGGGUAGUGGCUUACCACGGCAUUGACGGGUGGCCGGCCUGAGAGGGGGACCGGGCACAUGGGGACUGAGAUACGGCCCAGACUCCUACGGGAGGCAGCAGAGGGGGAUAGUGCACAAUGGGCGGAAGCCGGAUGCAGCAACGCCGCGUUCGGGAUGACGGCCUUCUGGUAGUAGACCGCAUCCGCCUGUGACGAAGCGUGAGUGACGGUAAUGGAUAAAGAAGCACCGGCUAACUACGUG